UACGGAAGGGGCGAGCGUUGUUCGGAAUCAUUGGGCGUAAAGGGCGCGUAGGUGGUUCUGUAUGUCUACCGUGAAAGCGUACGGCUCAACCGUAUUUUGUCGGUAGAAACUGCAGGACUUGAGGCUGGGAGGGGCUGGUGGAAUUCCCUGUGUAGCGGUGAAAUGCGUAGAGAUAGGGGAGAACACUCGUGGCGAAGGCGGCCAGCUAGACCAGUUCUGACACUGAGGCGCGACAGCGUGGGGAGCAAACGGG
rnacentral:rRNA from 1 species